rnacentral:lncRNA from 1 species
UAUCAUAUCAAGACAAAUAAUAUAAUUUAAUAUGUACAUGAGAUCUGAAAAUAAAACUUACAUCGAUCUGAUCGAUGCUGCAAUUCUAGAUCUAACCUUUAGAUCUAAAAAAAAUGAUCAAAGAAGUUUAGAAAUUAUUACCAAACUGAAAACUCUUGAUUUCUGCUGGUCCAACACUUGGAUAGGUUCUUUUUCAGAUUGCUCGCAGCCACACAAAGUCGUCUGACCUCUACAGAACGUUCACAUGAAGACCGACGCAGAUCAAGCUCUUUGAAAGUGCUAGCUUGCAAGGAUUUUUGAGACUGAUUUCUUCCUUCUUCUUCAAAAGCCUUGGACGCUCCAAAGGAAGAGAAUAUCUGAAGGAGGAAGAGGAGAAGAGAAGGAGCUCUAGAGAAAAAAUAAACUUAGCAAGAGGAACCA